rnacentral:rRNA from 1 species
GACGAACGCUGGCGGCGUGCCUAAUACAUGCAAGUAGGACGCAGUUGCGAACGGGUGAGUAACGCGUAGGUAACUGCCUAUUAGAGGGGGAUAAAUAUUGGAAACGCUAGCUAAUACCGCAUACUAGUAGAUGGACCUGCGUUGUAUUAGCUAGUAGGUAGGGUAAUGGCCUACCUAGGCGAAGAUACAGAACCGACCUGAGAGGGUGAUCGGCCACACUGGGACUGAGAAACGGCCCAGACUCCUACGGGAGGCAGCAGUAGGGAAUCUGCGGCAAUGGGGCGAAACCUGACCGAGCAACGCCGAGUGAGUGAAGAAGGGUUUCGGAUCGUAAAGCUCUGUUGUUAAGGAAGCGGUACUUAACCAGAAAGGGACGGCUAACUACGUGCCAGCAGCCGCGGUAAUAC